GAAACCACCGGCAUAGCCGGUAUAAGAUUCUAUCCACCUUGUGUGCAAACAAUGGAAAAAGAGAGAAAAUUGGGUAUUUUUGUAUCCAACUUCUCUAAAAAAAUUUAUAAACUCCAUCAAAUUUUGAAUUAAACCGAUUUUUUUUUAAUAAAAAAAUAUUAUA
rnacentral:misc_RNA from 1 species